GGUAAGUUGGUGGAAUAGUUACACAUUCGGCUCAUGCCCGAAGUUAUAGAGGUGCAAUUCCUCUACUUACAU
rnacentral:tRNA from 2 species